AACGAACGCUGGCGGCAGGCCUAACACAUGCAAGUCGAGCGCCCUUUCGGGGGAGCGGCGGACGGGUGAGUAACGCGUGGGAAUAUGCCCUUCUCUACGGAAUAGCCUCGGGAAACUGAGAGUAAUACCGUAUACGCCCUUUGGGGGAAAGAUUUAUCGGGGAAGGAUUAGCCCGCGUUGGAUUAGGUAGUUGGUGGGGUAAUGGCCUACCAAGCCGACGAUCCAUAGCUGGUUUGAGAGGAUGAUCAGCCACACUGGGACUGAGACACGGCCCAGACUCGUACGGGAGGCAGCAGUGGGGAAUCUUAGACAAUGGGGGCAACCCUGAUCUAGCCAUGCCGCGUGAGUGAUGAAGGCCUUAGGAUUGUAAAGCUCUUUCAGCUGGGAAGAUAAUGACGGUACCAGCAGAAGAAGCCCCGGCUAACUACGUG
rnacentral:rRNA from 1 species